AUUGAACUACCCUUUUUGGAGAGUUUGAUCCUGGCUCAGGACGAACGCUGGCGGCGUGCCUAAUACAUGCAAGUCGAGCGGAGUGUUCCCUUCGGGGUUCACUUAGCGGCGGACGGGUGAGUAACACGUAGGCAACCUGCCCA
rnacentral:rRNA from 1 species